rnacentral:sRNA from 1 species
UUACGUACUGUAUAUCACGUGGUUGAU